rnacentral:rRNA from 1 species
GACGAACGCUGGCGGCGUGCUUAACACAUGCAAGUCGAACGGAAAGGCCCUGCUUUUGUGGGGUGCUCGAGUGGCGAACGGGGGAGUAACACGUGAGUAACCUGCCCUUGACUUUGGGAUAACUUCAGGAAACUGGGGCUAAUACCGUAUAGGAGCUCCUGCUGCAUGGUGGGGGUUGGAAAGUUUCGGCGGUUGGGGAUGGACUCGCGGCUUAUCAGCUUGUUGGUGGGUUAGUGGCUUACCAAGGCUUUGACGGGUAGCCGGCCUGAGAGGGUGACCGGCCACAUUGGGACUGAGAUACGGCCCAGACUCCUACGGGAGGCAGCAGUGGGGAAUAUUGCACAAUGGGCGGAAGCCUGAUGCAGCAACGCCGCGUGCGGGAUGACGGCCUUCGGGUUGUAAACCGCUUUCGCCUGUGACGAAGCGUGAGUGACGGUAAUGGGUAAAGAAGCACCGGCUAACUACGUG